GGAGGGGGCUAGCGUUGUUCGGAAUUACUGGGCGUAAAGGGCGCGUAGGCGGUAUGCCAUGUCAGGGGUGAAAGGCCUGGGCUCAACCCAGGAACUGCCUUUGAAACUGGCAAACUAGAGUCCGAUAGAGGAUGGCGGAAUUCUCAGUGUAGAGGUGAAAUUCGUAGAUAUUGGGAAGAACACCAGUGGCGAAGGCGGCCAUCUGGAUCGGCACUGACGCUGAGGCGCGAAAGCGUGGGGAGCAAACAGGGAUUAGAUACCCUGGUAGUCCACGCCGUAAACGAUGUGUGCUAGACGUUGGGGGGCCUUAGGCCCUGGGUGUCGCAGCUAACGCAUUAAGCACACCGCCUGGGGAGUACGGCCGCAAGGUUA
rnacentral:rRNA from 1 species